rnacentral:rRNA from 1 species
AAGCUCGUAGUUGAAUUUCGGGAUCAAUAUGUUGGUCGUGCCAUUGGUACGCACUGGCAUUAUUGGUUUCUACCUUCUGAAGAACCCUCGAUGUCAUUAAUUUGGUGUCUUGGGGAAUCAGGACUGUUACUUUGAAAAAACUUAGAGUGUUUAAAGCAAGCUCGCGCUUGAAUACAUUAGCAUGGAAUAAUGAAAUAGGACGUUUGAUUCUAUUUUGUUGGUUUCUAGGAUCGACGUAAUGAUUAAUAGGGAUAGUUGGG